rnacentral:rRNA from 1 species
ACGGAAAGGCCUCUUCGGAGGUACUCGAGUGGCGAACGGGUGAGUAACACGUGGGCAAUCUGCCCUGCACUUCGGGAUAAGCCUGGGAAACUGGGUCUAAUACCGGAUAGGACCUUUAGACGCAUGUCUUUUGGUGGAAAGCUUUUGCGGUGUGGGAUGGGCCCGCGGCCUAUCAGCUUGUUGGUGGGGUGAUGGCCUACCAAGGCGACGACGGGUAGCCGGCCUGAGAGGGUGUCCGGCCACACUGGGACUGAGAUACGGCCCAGACUCCUACGGGAGGCAGCAGUGGGGAAUAUUGCACAAUGGGCGCAAGCCUGAUGCAGCGACGCCGCGUGGGGGAUGACGGCCUUCGGGUUGUAAACCUCUUUCACCAUCGACGAAGGUCCGGGUUUUCUCGGAUUGACGGUAGGUGGAGAAGAAGCACCGGCCAACUACGUGCCAGCAGCCGCGGUAAUACGUAGGGUGCGAGCGUUGUCCGGAAUUACUGGGCGUAAAGAGCUCGUAGGUGGUUUGUCGCGUUGUUCGUGAAAUCUCACGGCUUAACUGUGAGCGUGCGGGCGAUACNGGCA